CAAAGGAGAAAAUAUGGUAAUGUGCACAUAAAUUGAAUUGGGUCUCUAGGUCUACCCUUUCUGAUAUCAUUAGGCUUUGAUUUGGGGGCAUGGAUCCGCAGCACCGCA